AUUCCAGCUCCAAUAGCGUAUAUUAAAGUUGUUGCAGUUAAAAAGCUCGUAGUUGGAUUUCUGGCUGGAGCGAUCGGUCCGCCCCGCAAGGGGUGUGCACUAGCGUCGUCUCCGACCAUCCUUGUGGGAACUGUGCGGCCGUUAACUCGGUUGUAUAUGGGAACACAUCGUUUACUGUGAAAAAAUUAGAGUGUUUAAAGCAGGCUUAAGCCGUUGAAUACAUUAGCAUGGAAUAAUAAGAUAAGACUUGGGUCAUUAUUUUGUUGGUUUGCGGAUCGAGGUAAUGAUUAAUAGGGAUAGUUUGGGGUAUUCAUAUUUAAUUGUCAGAGGUGAAAUUCCUGGAUUUAUGAAAGAUGAACUUAGGCGAAAGCAUUUACCAAGGAUGUUUUCAUUG
rnacentral:rRNA from 1 species